UCUUCACAACAGCAGCAAGCAAGCACACUACAACGAAUGACUGCUGGGAUGUGUUACAGGACCUACUCUACGGUCAGGGUCAAAUGUGGGUAACAGUCACAGUCUCAUGAGGUGCUGGGAGUUAUCAGUGAAGGGAAGCAUCCAAAACAUGGCAUACACAAUGGUUUCCUAGUACUGUCCCCACUGACCACCUAGCACUGUCUGCUCGGCAGCAUAUGUGACUGUCCCCAUGAAGGAGGUUGUCAUGAGCUCUUCACAGGACAGUGGUGAGCAUCCUGAGGUCACAGGCUGAGGAAGGAUCUGAACAUUGGAAAGAGCGCCUCCUCUUCACCACAUAGUCUGCCGCCUUAGAAUUUACUUCCCACCGAUCGUAACUGGAAAUAAAUCUCUAGGAGGAAAGGACUGCCACAUACAACUUGUGUAUUUGUCUUCAGACUGAAAAUAUCUCAGAGGGACUCUGUGUAGUGCAUCGUUACACACUGGAAAGUUUAAUUUGAAAGAUCAGAGGAACUAGCAAGACUGGACAAGCUAGAGCUGAUUUAAAAGAUAAAGGACCAACAGCUAUCUGGCCUGAUAAAGGCCUGUCCAGCACCCAGACUAUCAGGCUUCGGCUCAGCAGUCCUCAUCCCCAUGCUCCAAGACUAUGUACACCCAUAUUCUGCAAAAGACGCUGCAGGAGGAAGGGCCGUAAUCCAGACAAACAAGGAAGGGGAUGAGGACAGAGACAAUGCCUGUGUUCCAUUUUUGUGAAGACUAAAUGAGCCAAAGCUGCAGAGGACGGAGACCAGCCUGUGACACACAGGGAGUGUUUAACAUAUGCCUGUUGUAAUAAUUGCUGAUGGGAGAUACUGCGGUAGUAGUGGAGUUCACCCUGGCAUUUAUAACAUCUGAGUUAAUAUUUCAACUUUGCCACCUGUCAAUUAUGUAACCACGACAAGUUACUGAACCUUGCCAUGUCUCCAUUUCACCCAUGAGAGCCCCCAUGUAAAGCAGGGCCUUGCUGUAGAGAUGCCAGAUACAGCUCACAAACUCUGUGCAAAACUGGUUCAUAUGCCCUGGAACUGGCCUAGUAUGGCUUUCGGCUUUCACCCUGAGAUGUCCCAUGGGACUGUAUUUUAAGUAGUACCCGCCCUCUGUGGUUCACCUUUCCCAACAACCUCCUUGAAGAGCCCUGAGGGAGUGGUUUCUCCAUCCCUGACUCCCACAGCACUCCUUGUACCAGUGCUACAGUGUUGAUAUUUGUAUGAAGUCUCAUUCCCCCCUGGGUCAAGGAUGCCAGCUGAGAUCUCCACACCCAAGGCAGCCCCUCAAUGCUGUCUGGCAUCGUAACUAAAAACAGAGGAUGAGAAUCUGACAAAACGGUAGGACCUGGAGCUAAUGUGCCAGGCACAACUCGUGUCUACCCUGCAAGCAUAUGUGAAAACCCAGGAGGAUGAAGAAGCCAUGGAUUCUUAGGACACUGGAAAGAAGCCCCUAGCACAUUAAAGAGACAGAAGUAGAGGAAUGAGCACCACUCUUCUUAGGUGGAUCCCACACUGCACAUGUGUGCACCUGUCCUGAUCAUGGAUGCCCACACUGCACAUAUGUGCACCUGUCCUGAUCAUGGAUGCCCACACUGCACAUAUGUGCACCUUCUCUCGUCAUGGAUGCCCACACUGCACAUAUGCGCACCUGUCCUGAUCAUGGAUGCCCACACUGCACAUGUGUGCACCUGCCCUCGUCAUGGAUGCCCACACUGCACAUGUGUGCACCUGUCCUGAUCAUGGAUGCCCACACUGCACAUAUGUGCACCUUCCCUCGUCAUGGAUGCCCACACUGCACAUAUGUGCACCUGUCCUCAUCAUGGAUGCCCACACUGCACAUGUGUGCACCUGCCCUCAUCAUGGAUGCCCACACUGCACAUGUGUGCACCUGCCCUCAUCAUGGAUGCCCACACUGCACAUAUGUGCACCUG
rnacentral:lncRNA from 1 species